rnacentral:rRNA from 1 species
GACGAACGCUGGCGGCGUGCCUAAUACAUGCAAGUAGAACGCACAGUUUAUACCGUAGCUUGCUACACCAUAGACUGUGAGUUGCGAACGGGUGAGUAACGCGUAGGUAACCUGCCUGGUAGCGGGGGAUAACUAUUGGAAACGAUAGCUAAUACCGCAUAAUAUUAAUUAUUGCAUGAUAAUUGAUUGAAAGAUGCAACUGCAUCACUACCAGAUGGACCUGCGUUGUAUUAGCUAGUAGGUGAGGUAACGGCUCACCUAGGCGACGAUACAUAGCCGACCUGAGAGGGUGAGCGGCCACACUGGGACUGAGACACGGCCCAGACUCCUACGGGAGGCAGCAGUAGGGAAUCUUCGGCAAUAGACGAAAGUCUGACCGAGCAACGCCGCGUGAGUGAAGAAGGGUUUCGGAUCGUAAAGCUCUGUUGUAAGAGAAGAACGGGUGUGAGAGUGGAAAGUUCACACUGUGACGGUAUCUUACCAGAAAGGGACGGCUAACUACGUG